rnacentral:lncRNA from 1 species
GUACAGAAGCCCUACUUGAAACCUUUUGUAAGUCUAAGUGCUUCUGAAAGGCUCUCCUCCAGGGGUGCAGCUCCCUGCCCUCCUGUGGUGUCGUGAAAGAAUGUCAUUCACCCUCCCGUCAACCCUGAGAACAAGAGGCCAUUUCUCAGCGGGUGAAUCAAGCUACCAUGAGUGCCAAGGUGUCAGAGGGACUCAACUUGUCCCUUGCCAGUCACAUGAUCCUUGGCUGAGGCCUCCCCUUUGGAAAGCAGGACAAUGUCGCAUCUGCAUCUCACUCACGGACCCCAGGUGCCAGCUGAGGGUCAGGCGGCAAGGUCACAGCGUUGACAAUAACCACCAUCCAGUGACAGAUAGCCGUGUCUGGCUCGGUGCUAAGCCCUCACACGUGUGAACUCUCUUCAUCUUUGCACCAGCUUGGUGACGAAGGUAUAUUUUAUGCCCACCUCCAAGCCUGUUUCAUAAAUGAAGAUUCAGAGGCUUCGAGAAGGGGAGAGGUGCCCCGAUCGCACCCUAGAAGGAGGCAGGCGGGAGGACCUUCUCCGCGGAACUCAGGUUGGACUCAGACUCACAGAGAUGCCUCAGCUGCCACCUGCCCCCCGCCUUGAGCAGAACCAUCGUUCUAGAGAACUUGCUGGCUUCGUAGUAAUCCCUUCCUUUCUGGCUCCUGGGAUCUUGUUCACUGUCUGGUCCUCUUCAAGCCCUGGAACACAGUAGGUGUUCAACAAAUAUUUGCAGAAAGAAUAGUUCUCAUUCAUGUUGCUGUUUGAUCUUCCCCCACAUCCCUGUGAGGGAGCGAAUUAGGAAAUGUGAUUGCUGCCGGUGUUAGUCAUCUCG